UAUUCCUUUUGAAUGAACAAUGGAUAACAGAAAAACUGCUUUGAGAAAGCCACACAAGUGAUGAAGUAUGGGCUUCAUAUCGUAUGUUUGUUUCCCAUUGUGAAAUCUUGUUUUCAAUAUCAUUCCCAACUUCCAAAUUAUAUCAAUAGAUUGGAUUUGGGAGGGGUGUUUGGGUUAUAACCAAGGACUUGAGAUCAUCAUGAGCCUUAGCUUUAAUGGUCUCUUGGAUGAUAAUGUACCAAAAUGUAUAUUAGUAAUUAACAUAUAUAUGAAUACAAGUCACUGAGUUUGAAAGCAAUAUCGAUCCCAUUGCUACUCAGGAGACCCACACCUACAUAAGCCUUUUUUUUUUCUAACUAUCAAACAUAUUUUUUUUUUUGUUCUAAAAAAUAGAACAAACCUUUAAUCUUCAAUGAUUUGAAUUUCAAGUUUCCAAUGAAGAUUUGAAAUUUUGAAAAUUAUCGACUAAAUAUUAUCAAUAUCAAAGCACUACCACGCGCUAGUCAACACGAUCAAAGCCAAAAUUAUUUUUAACUUUGUCAAAUCUACAUUGGUGUUCCAUAUCUAUAUGUAAAUCAACUGCCCAGAAAGGUAGGAAGGUUGCAAAGAUGUUUUUAUAUCCAAACAUUUGGUCUUGGACUUGGAAAAAAAAAAUGAAGCUUCCAUGUAUUUUGUUUUAAUUAUAGCAUUACAUUGCCUUCUGAAUUCCAGGACUAAAAGAUUCAUGAUUUUUUUUUGUGCCCCAGAAACUUUGAAUCAGAGGACAGAAGAACAGUAAGGAGCAAUGCACCUUAUUCUUCAAAGUUCAAUGGCAAGAAGAACAGAAUUUUGAUUACAUAUUCCACUUAUUCAUCAAUGUGGUUUUCUUCUGGGGUGCCAUCAUCCAUGGUUUCUUCAGCUUAUUCUGAUCAAACCAAUAAUGAGAAAGUGCCUCCUCAGGUUAAAGCUAUCAGUACCAAAAUGGAAUUCAAUCGGGUGAAUUGUCUUGUGUGGGUAUUGCAUGAGUCUGCUAGGAGCUUUUCCCACACGGUUGAAUCUUUUAAAUUGGCUAGAAGCCGUCCAGAGCUAGCAAUGGCUUGGGUGGCAGUUGAUGUGCAUGCCUGGCAUAAGCGCAUUGCCCAUCAGGUAUGCACUUACACAAAAGCCAUUAGCACUAAGUGAUUAGGGUUCUUCCUCCAUAAACUGAUACAGAGUAUCAUGCUUGUACUUUUAUGACUUUCUUGUUGGCAAGAUAAAUUUAAAUAAGAAUUAUACCAUUGUGGUAGGACAGGUAGCAGUUUAUGCUUUAUUAAGAACUGCAAUUGAACUGGAAUUCAUUCUUUCUCAUGGACGCUGCAACAGUCCUUCUCUAGUUCGUGAGAUGUAAGUUCUAAAAUCGUCUUUUAGAAGUCUAAUGUUAAUGGAUUUGCUUUAGUCCUGGAAGUUGUAGUUGGUUAACUAGUGAAACUUGCACAUGCUAUGCCUGAAAACAUCUUUUUGAAGUUUUGUUUGAACUUCCAUACAUGAUAUUCCAUCACUUGUGGCUCAGUUUUGAUGUCUCUUCCUCACUUCAAAGGCAAACGGUGAUUGCAACCUUGUAUGCUACGACUAACAUUUUGUUCCUUCAUUUCAUUCAGCUUGUCCCCAAUGAUAAACUCGGUCAAGCAAAACAUAGAAAGCCGGUUGAAGACAAGGCACCCAAAAUUGGUUGAAUGGUUUAGAAUGGUGGAACUGCCACGUAUAGCGGGAUUUUUCAUUCCAUUGUUGAAGAAGUGGUCUAUGGAAUAUGCUGGAAGGGAUUAUUCUGGCUAUAAGCUGCCGUGUGGCAGUAGGAAAAUUGGGUUCUGACCAUAUUUCCUGCCCCUUGUUUAUAUCGUCUAUUGAGGACGCAUUAAUAGAUCUCAUGAAUUUGUCACACAGUCUUGUUUCAGUGGAUAAAUUGUACCAGUUGGCCACUGAGGCAGGUUUUGAACGGGAGUUCCUGUAUAAUUUUGGUACAAAGAUUCAGCUUAGCCAGAAAAGUGAAGAUGUAGAAUUUUGGAUUGGUUUGGCUCAGAAAAAACUCGCUAAAGCAAUUCGCAGAGAAAGUGUAUUUUCAGGCCUUCAGACUUUUCAAGACAAGGUCAGUUCAGUGAUUCAUGCAAUAACCUCCUGGCCUUUGUCAUGGACACUCUUGGACAAUCCCUAGAUAGUUUCAUUUUCAAUUUACUGGACCAUAAGAGUUUGUUCUAAAGGAAUCCAUCAAAGCUAAGUGUGCAAGUUCUACAGAAGCAAACAUAUGGUUAUCAUCCCAAAUGUCGAUCCCUCAUUCGGAAUUGUGAAUAUUUGAAUGCUAAGGGAAGUAUUUCUAAUGUUCUAAGCCCUGGUCUUACCUUUGUCUAUUAAUGGUUGACAGGUUCAAGAGAGUAAUUGUCUGGCUACUCUAGGAAUUUUUGCAUUUCUGGGAAGAAAAACAAGAUUAUUCUUCUCAGGAAUGGGAAUAAAGGAUCUUGAUGAGCAGGUUAAGGACUUCCUCAGGUGCAUCACUCUGCAUUUUUUUUCUAUAACCCUCUUAAACUUCUCAACUUUAUCCUUAAGACUCCAAUAGGUUCAAUGCUUUGAUUUCAGUUACUUGGAGUGCGGUAGCCUUUUCAUUUACCCCAAGUUUUCUUCACUCUCUGUGUAUCAACUUUUCAUGGAGGUAGUAGCUGAUGAAAUUGGAUGGCUUGAUUUUUAUGCUGCAUUUUCUUUCGGAUUCAAUCAAGAGAGAAGGAGUUCCAAACCGCAUGCCAUCCAAGCAGAGAAAGAGAUUAUUUUACAUACUGUUUUUACGGUUUGCUGUGAUGUUUUCUCUGGGUUUGCACAUUUCAGCAGUUCAACUCAGCAGCCCUUAAAUGCAGACUUGUAGGCAUUCUUGCUCUGAAGUCAGAGCCUACUUACUAGUUGUCUGGAAGACUACUGGGCUGCCUAUGAUAGAUCAGGGUACCGAUUUCUCAAGCAGUCAGCUGCAGAAGAUUACAGAAAGAAAUGCCCUUGACCCAACACAAUCCAUUGGAACUAAAAGCACUACAAGUUCAUCUCUAACCUUGGAAGCACAACAGAAGGUGACCGACUUAAUGGCAAGGGGAAAUCCAAAAAAAAACCUCAGUCUGGGAAUAAACUGAGCAAGGCUAGCUGCAAAGUGGGGACAGAGACAAGAACCCUGGUGGAGGCAGGAAGGACAGCUGAAUCAGAGGCUCUGCAUCAAAUUUUACUCAGGAAAUCCAGCAUGAAGUUGAUAUCUACAAGCUCUGAUAUAUGGAUGGGCACUCAGCUGCUCUUCAUAGACAUCAUGGCUUCUCUGGAGCUUCUGCUAAAGCAAAUGCGUGGCCGCAGGAUUACAGAAAGGGAAAGAAAGAAGCUAAAACAAACACUAGCUGGUAUCUGUUGUAGGGCAUGCGGCCAUCUUAGCAGCUAUAAAUAAGUACAUGCCAUCCUUGAUCCCAUCUCCAUAUUCCUCCGAGCGACUAGAUGUUGUAAAACAACUGAAAAGAAGCAAGAAGAUGGAAGUUCAGACAAUGAGCAACCAACAGGAUGCAUCCUCUGCUAUCUCAAAAAUAAAUGGUUAAUGCUAACGUGUUGUCCAUUGAUCACUUGAACAUGACAUGUAUACAUUUCUAUGAACAUGUGGAUGCUUACAUAUAUUCAUUGGUGAUGAUCAAA